GUGUCAGCAGCCGCGGUAAUACAGAGGUCUCAAGCGUUAAUCGGAAUCACUGGGCUUAAAGAGUGCGUAGGCGGAUCUGUAAGUGUCUUGUGAAAUCCCAUGGCUCAACCAUGGAAUGGCUCGGCAUACUGCAGGUCUUGAGGUCGGUAGAGGUCGCUGGAACUCUAGGUGGAGCGGUGAAAUGCGUAGAUAUCUAGAGGAACGCCAAAGGUGAAGACAAGCGACUGGGCCGGUCCUGACGCUGAGGCACGAAAGCGUGGGGAGCAAACGGGAUUAGAUACCCUUGUAGUCC
rnacentral:rRNA from 1 species